rnacentral:rRNA from 1 species
GUAGGUGGCAAGCGUUGUCCGGAAUUAUUGGGCGUAAAGCGCGCGCAGGCGGUUCUUUAAGUCUGAUGUGAAAGCCCACGGCUCAACCGUGGAGGGUCAUUGGAAACUGGAGAACUUGAGUACAGAAGAGGAAAGCGGAAUUCCACGUGUAGCGGUGAGAUGCGUAGAGAUGUGGAGGAACACCAGUGGCGAAGGCGGCUUUCUGGUCUGUAACUGACGCUGAGGCGCGAAAGCGUGGGGAGCAAACAGGGAUUAGAUACCCUGGUAGUCCACGCCGUAAACGAUGAGUGCUAAGUGUUAGGGGGUUUCCGCCCCCUUAGUGCUGCAGCUAACGCAUUAAGCACUCCGCCUGGGGAGUACGGCCGCAAGGCUG